UACGAAGGGGGCUAGCGUUGUUCGGAAUUACUGGGCGUAAAGCGCACGUAGGCGGCUUCUUAAGUCAGGGGUGAAAUCCUGGAGCUCAACUCCAGAACUGCCUUUGAUACUGAGGAUCUUGAGUUCGGGAGAGGUGAGUGGAACUGCGAGUGUAGAGGUGAAAUUCGUAGAUAUUCGCAAGAACACCAGUGGCGAAGGCGGCUCACUGGCCCGAUACUGACGCUGAGGCACGAAAGCGUGGGGAGCAAACAGG
rnacentral:rRNA from 1 species